GAUAGUGUGGCACAGUGGUUUGAGUGUUCGAUUAGGAUUCUGGAGUCCAGGGUUUGAAUCCCAGUUCAGCCA